rnacentral:lncRNA from 1 species
CUAAGCCAGUACCCUCUGACAUGAGUGGAUAGAUGCCUUCCCACCAGUGUUCUUGAUGGCCAACUGGAAUGUAGGCUUAGAUCUCUGCUGCAGGGGCCGUGAGAUUGUAACAGAGCCAGUGCGGCUAACCCUCCCAUUCUUUUGUGUUGUCCCGAGACAGAGGGUGUAAACGAGUAUCUUCCAGGUGCAAAAAUGCUGUUGGGAAAGACCUGUCUGAAGUGUAGGCAACACCCUAGUGUGAUGGCGGAAUCAGGAGUGCAGCAAGCAGAGGAUCUCUCCGGGCCCUGACGCGUGCUCACUUUGCCCGGCGUUAAACAAGGAGAGCACCAUGG